GAUGAACGCUAGCGGCAGGCCUAAUACAUGCAAGUCGAACGGUGUCUUCGGACAUAGUGGCGCACGGGUGCGUAACACGUAUGCAACCUACCUUACAUUGGGGGAUAGCCUUUCGAAAGGGAGAUUAAUACCGUAUAAGACAGUAACUAGGCAUCUAGUAGCUGUUAAAGAUUUAUCGAUGUAAGCUGGGCAUGCGUCCAAUUAGCUAGUUGGUGAGGUAACGGCUCACCAAGGCAAUGAUUGGUAGGGGAACUGAGAGGUCAAUCCCCCACACUGGCACUGAGAGACGGGCGAGACGCCUGCGGGAGGCAGCAGUAGGGAAUAUUGGGCAAUGGACGCAAGUCGGACCCAGCCAUGCCGCGUGCAGGAUGAAGGCGUUAUGCGUUGUAGACUGCUUUUAUACAUGAAGAAACGACUCUUGCGAGAGGCAUUGACGGUACUGUAUGAAUAAGCACCGGCUAACUCCGUGCCAGCAGCCGCCGUAAGAC
rnacentral:rRNA from 1 species